rnacentral:misc_RNA from 1 species
ACCGCACCACUAGCUUCAUCAACAUGCAACAUAGGGGAAUUUCCUGUUCCCUGUUCAGAUCGGGACUGAUGCUCUAGUUUUGACGAUGCAGUAUAAACAACUACUUGAAGGAGGCUCAUGACCUGUUCAAGAUGCACAACACUACGCAAGAAAAGUGGUCGAUUCAAAAGCUUCAGGAAUAGAACCAAAGGAACAUUUCCGGCUUGACAUGUUUUUAAAUUACUUGAUGGAGGUCCUUCCACAACUUUCUCCUUGCCCUUCUUAGUUUCCAUGUAUGUAGAACUCAAAUCCUCAGGGACAGUCUCCAAA